rnacentral:rRNA from 1 species
GACGGAGGGUGCGAGCGUUAUUCGGAAUCACUGGGCGUAAAGAGCGUGUAGGCGGCCGGUUAAGUCAGGUGUGAAAGCCCAUGGCUCAACGUCAGAAGUGCCCUUGAUACUGGACGGCUUGAGAUCGGGAGAGGGAAGCAGAAUUCCUGGUGUAGAGGUGAAAUGCGUAGAUAUCAGGUGGAACACCGGUGGCGAAGGCGGCUUCCUGGACCUAAUCUGACGCUGAGACGCGAAAGCGUGGGGAGCAAACAGG